AGCCUGAUCCAGCCAUACCGCGUGGGUGAAGAAGGCCUUCGGGUUGUAAAGCCCUUUUGUUGGGAAAGAAAAGCAAUCGAUUAAUACUCGGUUGUUCUGACGGUACCCAAAGAAUAAGCACCGGCUAACUUCGUGCCAGCAGCCGCGGUAAUACGAAGGGUGCAAGCGUUACUCGGAAUUACUGGGCGUAAAGCGUGCGUAGGUGGUUGUUUAAGUCUGUUGUGAAAGCCCUGGGCUCAACCUGGGAAUUGCAGUGGAUACUGGGCAACUAGAGUGUGGUAGAGGGUAGUGGAAUUCCCGGUGUAGCAGUGAAAUGCGUAGAGAUCGGGAGGAACAUCCAUGGCGAAGGCAGCUACCUGGACCAACACUGACACUGAGGCACGAAAGCGUGGGGAGCAAACAGGAUUAGAUACCCUGGUAGUCCACGCCCUAAACGAUGCGAACUGGAUGUUGGGUGCAAUUUGGCACGCAGUAUCGAAGCUAACGCGUUAAGUUCGCCGCCUGGGGAGUACGGUCGCAAGACUGAAACUCAAAGGAAUUGACGGGGGCCCGCACAAGCGGUGGAGUAUGUGGUUUAAUUCGAUGCAACGCGAAGAACCUUACCUGGUCUUGACAUGUCGAGAACUUUCCAGAGAU
rnacentral:rRNA from 2 species